rnacentral:sRNA from 1 species
UGGUGGCCUAGUAAAUUUAAAAAUUGGUUUUCUAGGCCACCAACUUUAAA